UGGGGGAUAUUGCACAAUGGGCGAAAGCCUGAUGCAGCGACGCCGCGUGGGGGAUGAAGGCUUUCGGGUUGUAAACCUCUUUCGCUAUCGAACAAGGCCCGCUUAGGGUGGGUUGAGGGUAGGUGGAGAAGAGGCGCCGGCUAACUACGUGCCAGCAGCCGCGGUAAUACGUAGGGCGCGAGCGUUGUCCGGAAUUAUUGGGCGUAAAGGGCUUGUAGGCGGCUUGUUGCGCCUGCUGUGAAAACGCGGGGCUUAACGUCGCGCGUGCAGUGGGUACGGGAAGGCUUGAGUGUGGUAGGGGUGACUGGAAUUCCAGGUGUAGCGGUGGAAUGCGCAGAUAUCUGGAGGAACACCGAUGGCGAAGGCAGGUCACUGGGCCAUUACUGACGCUGAGGAGCGAAAGCAUGGGUAGCGAACAGG
rnacentral:rRNA from 1 species